UACGUAGGGAGCAAGCGUUGUUCGGAUUUACUGGGCGUAAAGGGCGCGUAGGCGGCGUGUCAAGUCGAUUGUGAAAUCUCCGGGCUUAACUCGGAACGGCCAAUCGAUACUGACGUGCUAGAGUGCAGAAGGGGCUACUGGAAUUCUCGGUGUAGCGGUGAAAUGCGUAGAUAUCGAGAGGAACACCUGCGGCGAAGGCGGGUAGCUGGGCCGACACUGACGCUGAGGCGCGAAAGCCAGGGGAGCGAACGGG
rnacentral:rRNA from 1 species